rnacentral:rRNA from 1 species
UACAGAGGGUGCGAGCGUUAAUCGGAAUUACUGGGCGUAAAGCGCGCGUAGGCGGCUUUGCAAGUCGGGUGUGAAAGCCCCGGGCUCAACCUGGGAAUUGCAUUCGAGACUGAAUAGCUAGGGUACGGUAGAGGGAAGCGGAAUUUCCGGUGUAGCGGUGAAAUGCGUAGAUAUCGGAAGGAACAUCAGUGGCGAAAGCGGCUUCCUGGACCAGUACCGACGUUCAGGCACGAAAGCGUGGGGAGCAAACAGG